rnacentral:snRNA from 1 species
UCAGCUCUCUUUGCCUAUUGGCUUAGAUCAAGUGUAGUAUCUGU